ensembl:Mt_tRNA
AAGGCCUUAGCUUAAUUAAAGUGUCUGUUUUGCAUGCAGAAGAUGUGGGUUAGUGUCCUGCAGGUCUUA